rnacentral:rRNA from 1 species
GACCAGACUCCUACGGGAGGCAGCAGUGGGGGAUAUUGCACAAUGGGGGAAACCCUGAUGCAGCGACGCCGCGUGGGUGAAGGAGCACCUCGGUGCGUAAAGCCCUAUCGGCAGGGAAGAAACAGACGGUACCUGACUAAGAAGCCCCGGCUAACUACGUGCCAGCAGCCGCGGGAAUACGUAGGGGGCAAGCGUUAUCCGGAUUUACUGGGUGUAAAGGGGGCGCAGACGGCAGCGCAAGCCAGGAGUGAAAGCCCGGGGCCCAACCCCGGGACUGCUCUUGGAACUGCGCGGCUGGAGUGCAGGAGGGGCAGGCGGAAUUCCUGGUGUAGCGGUGAAAUGCGUAGAUAUCAGGAGGAACACCGGUGGCGAAGGCGGCCUGCUGGACUGCGACUGACGUUGAGGCCCGAAAGCGUGGGGAGCAAACAGGAUUAGAUACCCCAGUAC